rnacentral:rRNA from 1 species
GAUGAACGCUGGCGGCGUGCCUAAUACAUGCAAGUCGAGCGAAGAGGGGACGGGUGAGGACCACGUGGAUAACCUCCUAUAAGACUGGGAUAAAUACGGGAAACCGGAGCUCAACAGGGUACUUAUAGGUUGUUCCACGCUGCAUGCGCUAUUUGGUAAGGUAACGGCUUACCAAGGCAACGAUGCAUCGCCGACCUGAGAGGGUGAUAGGACACACUGGAACUGAGACACGGUCCAGACUCCUACGGGGGGCAGCAGUAGGGAAUCUUCCGCAAUGGACGAAAGCCUGACGGAGCAACGCCGCGUGAGUGAUGAAGGUCUUCGGAUCGUAAAACUCUGUUAUCAGGGAAGCGGUACCUAAUCAGAAAGCCACGGCUAACUACGUGCCAGCAGCCGCGGUAAUAC